rfam:Hordeum vulgare subsp. vulgare, WGS project CAJW01000000 data, contig: morex_contig_1213355
CAUCGUGAUGGGGAUAGGGGGAUAGAUCAUUGCGGAUAGAUCAUUGCAAUAGAUCAUUGCAAUUGUUCAUUGCAAUUGUUGGUCUGCAAUUGUUGGUCUUCAACGAGGAAUGCCUAGUAAGCGCGAGUCAUCAGCUCGCGCGGACUACGUCCCUGCCCUUUGUACACACCGCCCGUCGCUCCUACCGAUUGAAUGGUCCGGUGAAGUGUUCGGAUCGC